rnacentral:sRNA from 1 species
GUAGUAACACAUGUACAUGAAAUAGAAAGUGACGUGGCUUAAUCUGUGAUAGUGCUAUUUCUAUUGUUGACAUUUUAUGUAACAGUUUAACUUACAUGUAAGUUGCUCAGUACUGAUAUCUAACAUAGAUACUUUCUAAUUAAUAACUCAUCCUAAUUAAUUGUUAGGAUGCAUAUUUAUGUUUAUUAAUUAUACAUAUGUAUAUAUUUUGGGAUGUUAAUUUCUAUACAGAAAAUAAUAUGGUUUUGUUGUUCAAAUUAUAGGUAUGUAAGUGACAAUAUAUUUCAAAAAUGAAUAUGGAAGUAAUUACUGUAUGUAUAAAUACAUGUACAAUUCCAUUUGGAUCGCCUACAGUUAUAAUGUUUGUGUUUGGUGCCUUCAUUCGGUGUUUAUUAGGUUGUGCAACAUGUUUUGUUAAAAUCUGUGAUGAAAUUCCGUCCAAGAAAUGAGAUGACAUUCAAGAGAGAGAGAGAGAGAGAGAGAGAGAGAGAGAGAGAGAGAGAGAGAGAGAGAGAGAGAGAGAGAGAAUGUGUGUUAUUGUAUUGUUUAGAUUUUGUACUUGACGAAGUACCGGAGCUUUGUAGAAUAAAUCAGUCUGUUAUUG